GACGAAGGGGGCUAGCGUUGUUCGGAAUUACUGGGCGUAAAGCGUGUGUAGGUGGUUGUCAUAGUCAGGUGUGAAAAGCCUUGAGCUCAACUCAAGAAAUGCACUUGAUACUGGGCAGCUAGAGGACCGGAGAGGAUAGUGGAAAUUCCCAGUGUAGUGGUGAAAAUACGUAGAGAUUGGGAAGAACACCAGUGGCGAAGGCGGCUAUCUGGACGGUUUCUGACACUAAGACACGAAAGCGUGGGGAGCAAACAGGG
rnacentral:rRNA from 1 species